rnacentral:rRNA from 1 species
AGCGAACGCUGGCGGCAGGCUUAACACAUGCAAGUCGAACGCCCCGCAAGGGGAGUGGCAGACGGGUGAGUAACACGUGGGAACGUACCCUUUGGUUCGGAAUAACUUGGGGAAACUCAAGCUAAUACCGGAUAAGCCCUUAUGGGGAAAGGUUUACUGCAGAAGGAUCGGCCAGCGUCUGAUUAGCUAGUUGGUGAGGUAAUGGCUCACCAAGGCGACGAUCAGUAGCUGGUCUGAGAGGAUGAUCAGACACACUGGGACUGAGACACGGCCCAGACUCCUACGGGAGGCAGCAGUGGGGAAUAUUGGACAAUGGGGGCAACCCUGAUCCAGCCAUGCCGCGUGAGUGAUGAAGGCCUUAGGGUUGUAAAGCUCUUUUACCCGGGACGAUAAUGACUGUACCGGGAGAAUAAGCCCCGGCUAACUUCGUGCCAGCCGCCGCCGUAA